CCUACGGGAGGCAGCAGUGGGGAAUAUUGCACAAUGGGCGAAAGCCUGAUGCAGCGACGCCGCGUGAGGGAUGACGGCCUUCGGGUUGUAAACCUCUUUCAGCAGGGAAGAAGCGAAAGUGACGGUACCUGCAGAAGAAGCGCCGGCUAACUACGUGCCAGCAGCCGCGGUAAUACGUAGGGCGCAAGCGUUGUCCGGAAUUAUUGGGCGUAAAGAGCUCGUAGGCGGCUUGUCACGUCGGUUGUGAAAGCCCGGGGCUUAACCCCGGGUCUGCAGUCGAUACGGGCAGGCUAGAGUGUGGUAGGGGAGAUCGGAAUUCCUGGUGUAGCGGUGAAAUGCGCAGAUAUCAGGAGGAACACCGGUGGCGAAGGCGGACCUCUGGGCCAUUACUGACGCUGAGGAGCGAAAGCGUGGGGAGCGAACAGGAUUAGAUACCCUGGUAGUCCACGCCGUAAACGGUGGGAACUAGGUGUUGGCGACAUUCCACGUCGUCGGUGCCGCAGCUAACGCAUUAAGUUCCCCGCCUGGGGAGUACGGCCGCAAGGCUAAAACUCAAAGGAAUUGACGG
rnacentral:rRNA from 1 species